CCAAGGAAAAAAAUUUCGACCGGUAAAUCCGGUUUACCGGAAAAUUUACCGUUACCGGUAGUGUCCGAGAAAUGGAUUUCGACCCAUACGACGGUGAGGAUGAUGGUAGCUCUACCUCUGUCAGUUCCACCUACAGCUACCCGUCGGCACCCACCUUUGUGUGGCCACCACAACCACAUCCGAUGACUGUCCCUCCGCGUCCUCUAUAUGGAUAUCCUCAUAUGUACUAUCAAGGAUACCUCCCAUAUGGAUUUCCUCACAUGUACUAUCAGGAAUAUCCCCCAGAGCAAGAUCAUAGAGAUGACGAAUGAGUACCCAUGAUUCGACGUUACAAUGUGAGUCAUCAACAAUUUCCGGUCGGUCGUAAGGUUUUCCUGUUGGAAAACACCGAAAUAAAAAUUUUAGAGUAUAUUUUGUGUUAACUAUUUGAGACUUGUAUUAUUUGAACCUAUAAAUUGUGUUAACAAGUUGAACCUAUAUUUUAUUGCAUUUGGAUUGUGGUUUGUAUUGA